AAAACGACUCUCGGCAACGGAUAUCUCGGCUCUCGCAUCGAUGAAGAACGUAGCGAAAUGCGAUACUUGGUGUGAAUUGCAGAAUCCCGUGAACCAUCGAGUCUUUGAACGCAAGUUGCGCCCCAAGCCGUUAGGCCGAGGGCACGCCCGCCUGGGUGUCGCGC
rnacentral:rRNA from 1 species